GACGAACGCUGGCGGCGUGCCUGACACAUGCAAGUCGGACGGUUCUUGCACCUUCAAGCUUGCUUGUUGGUUCAAGGAUAGUGGCGGACGGGUGAGUAACGCGUGAACACCUACCCAUUGGAGGGGUACAACCCGUCGAAAGGCGGGCUAAUACCGCGUAAGCCGUGAGGUGAAAGGCUGCUCUUUGGUGGCUGCCGAUGGAUGGGUUCGCGUCCUAUCAGCUGGUUGGUGGGGUAACGGCCUACCAAGGCUAAGACGGGUAGCCGGUCUGAGAGGAUGGCCGGCCACACUGGAACUGAGACACGGUCCAGACUCCUACGGGAGGCAGCAGUGGGGAAUCUUGGGCAAUGGGGGAGACCCUGACCCAGCGACGCCGCGUGAGGGAUGAAGGUUUUCGGAUCGUAAACCUCUGUUGUACGGGAAGAAGGAUGUGACGGUACCGUACGAGUAAGCCCCGGCAAACUACGUG
rnacentral:rRNA from 1 species